UAUACAACUACAUAGUAGGAAAAUGUAGACUGGCUUACUUUUACUCUGGUGUGUAGGGGAGGUACACGCUGGAGAAUAAAGUGCUGCUGGUGAUGGAGUAAAAGCUUGUGACUACAGGUGAUUUCCCUCCAAUUCAAGAUUUAAGAGAGCUGAACUGAUUCCUAAAAUCCAUUUCCAUGUGGUCACAGGGAGCCCAUGCUCGUGAUCUCAGGCGUCAUCGGGCAUCAAAGAAGGAUACACCCUGGACGAAGUGCCUACCCAUCGCAGGGCACACACACAUGCAAUCACACACUACAAGCAAUUUAGAAACUCCAAUCCUAGAAGCAUGUCUUUGGACUGUGGGAGGAAACCCACAAGGCAUGGGAGAACAUGCACACAAACAGUGAGCGGGAUCAAGACUCAAACCCAGGAUGCUGGAGGUGUGAGCCACCAUGCCACCUACAUUUAGUUUUGAACAUUUAAGUGCCAAAUCUUUAGUAUACUAUCCAUCAUACUAUAUAGUGCAGUAAUAUGUGGACCCAACCAAGGAAAUUCCAGAAACACCGGAACUGGAAGGUUUUAACUUAAUUACUUGAAGCACUUGGUUACUUGACUUACGUGUUCUAGGACAUACUGUAACCCACUACAGAUCAAACA